GACGAACGCUGGCGGCGUGCUUAACACAUGCAAGUCGAGCGGUAAGGCCCUUUCGGGGGCGACACGAGCGGCGAACGGGUGAGUAACACGUGGGUGACCUGCCCUCAGCUCUGGGAUAAGCCUGGGAAACCGGGUCUAAUACUGGAUAUGACUCCAUGACGCAUGUUGUGGGGUGGAAAGCCUUGUGCGGCUGAGGAUGGGCCCGCGGCCUAUCAGCUUGUUGGUGGGGNGAUGGCCUACCAAGGCGACGACGGGUAGCCGGCCUGAGAGGGCGACCGGGCCACACUGGGACUGAGACACGGCCCAGGACUCCUACGGGAGGCAGCAGUGGGGAAUAUUGGACAAUGGGCGCAAGCCUGAUCCAGCGAUGCCGCGUGUGUGAAGAA
rnacentral:rRNA from 1 species